UACGUAGGGUGCAAGCGUUAAUCGGAAUUACUGGGCGUAAAGCGAGCGCAGGCGGCUCCAUAAGACAGAUGUGAAAUCCCCGGGCUCAACCUGGGAAUUGCAUUUGUGACUGCGGAGCUAGAGUGUGUCAGAGGGAGGUGGAAUUCCGCGUGUAGCAGUGAAAUGCGUAGAUAUGCGGAGGAACACCGGUGGCGAAGGCGGCCUCCUGGGAUAACACUGACGCUCAUGCUCGAAAGCGUGGGGAGCAAACAGG
rnacentral:rRNA from 1 species